rfam:Cavia porcellus supercont2_13 genomic scaffold, whole genome shotgun sequence.
AGGGAUUUAGCUCAGCGGCAUAAGCACCUGCCUUGCAAGCAGGUGGUCGUGAGUUCGAUCCCUG